CUUGCUUUCUUUGCUGGCGACCGGCGCACGGGUGAGUAACACGUAUUCAACCUGCCGAUAACUCGGGGAUAGCCUUUCGAAAGAAAGAUUAAUACCCGAUGGUAUAAUAAAACCGCAUGGUUUAAUUAUUAAAGAAUUUCGGUUAUCGAUGGGGAUGCGUUCCAUUAGGCAGUUGGUGAGGUAACGGCUCACCAAACCUUCGAUGGAUAGGGGUUCUGAGAGGAAGGUCCCCCACAUUGGAACUGAGACACGGUCCAA
rnacentral:rRNA from 1 species